rnacentral:rRNA from 1 species
GCCUGAACCAGCCAAGUAGCGUGCAGGAUGACGGCCCUAUGGGUUGUAAACUGCUUUUAUAAGGGAAUAAAGUGAGUCUCGUGAGACUUUUUGCAUGUACCUUAUGAAUAAGGACCGGCUAAUUCCGUGCCAGCAGCCGCGGUAAUACGGAAGGUCCGGGCGUUAUCCGGAUUUAUUGGGUUUAAAGGGAGCGUAGGCCGGAGAUUAAGCGUGUUGUGAAAUGUAGACGCUCAACGUCUGCACUGCAGCGCGAACUGGUUUCCUUGAGUACGCACAAUGUGGGCGGAAUUCGUGGUGUAGCGGUGAAAUGCUUAGAUAUCACGAAGAACUCCGAUUGCGAGGGCAGCUCACUGGAGCGCAACUGACGCUGAAGCUCGAAAGUGCGGGUAUCGAACAGGAUUAGAUACCCUGGUAGUCCGCACGGUAAACGAUGGAUGCCCGCUGUUGGUCUGAAUAGGUCAGCGGCCAAGCGAAAGCAUUAAGCAUCCCACCUGGGGAGUACGCCGGCAACGGUGCAACUCAAAGGAAUU